AAAGCUGUAAUUUUUACUGAUGCAGCAUAGCAUUGUCUGGACUAGUGUUACGAAUACAGAUUUGGGUUGAUGGGAACAAUUUUGAGUCGUUUCUUGUUGCUGUGGUGGUUUUGGAGGACAGGACAGCCAGCUGAACAUCAUUUCAUCGAUGACUGUGGAUCAUUGUGUCAAAAUCUGAGGGCAAAAUAUGAACUUUGGAUGAGUUUCGAGAGGAUACAUGCAAGAUUGGCUGUCCCACUGUCCGUGCGGCUACGGAAAUUACAGAGUUCUGGUGUAGAGAUAUUCACGUCAUGCUCAACCCGAUAAGCAUCCAUUCUCUAUAAGAUUUUCUACCAACUAAUUAAACUAAGGGUACUAAUACAAUUUUGAGUAAAUUCAUCCUGUGAAAGGUGCUUAUUUGCAGAUUUAUUUUAUAGUUUAUAUUUUUAUCAAAGUAACUUUGUUGAUGUAUUACCAAUACAUGGCUAACGUUUAUAUGGCAGCAAGUUGGCAAAUCUGCAGAAGGGCCUAAUAAAAGCAAAACCGGCACCUCUCUUGGACAAGCUUGUUUUUGACAAGAUAAAACAAGAGCUAGGAGGACAAGUUCGUAUAAUGUUGUCUGGUGCUGCACCUUUGCCCAGGCAUGCGGAGGAAUUUAUCAGAAGGAUAUGAUAUGGUUGACUGCAUAACAUAAUGAAUAGGCCUUACUGAAAGCUGUGGUGGUUGUUUUACGUCCCUUAGCAAUGUUUAUCCUAUGAUUGGAACUGUUGGUGCCCCCUGACAACUAUUGAAGUGCGGCUUGAGUCGGUCCCAGAACUAGGAUAUGAUGCACUUUCUAGUGUGCCAUGUGGAGAGAUUUUCCUAAGAGGAAAAACCUUGUUUUCUGGUUACCACAAGUGACAAGAUCUAACUGAAGAGGUCCUUAUUGAUGGGUGGUACCGUACAGGUAAAUGUGUACAAUACUAGAAAUGAGGUGAUAUAGGAGAAUGGCAGCCUAAUCGAGCAAUGAAAGUUAUAGACAGGAAAAAGGAAGUAUUUAAACUGUCUCAAGGUGAAUAUGUUGCUGUGGAAAGCGUUGAAAGCAAAUACUUGCAAUGCCCCCUUGUCACAUCGAUAUGGGUUUAUGGGAACCGCUUUGAGUCAUUUCUUGUUGCUGUGGUUGUUCCUGGCAGAAAGGCCUUGGAGGACUGGGCAGCUGAGCAUCAUUUGACUGAUGAUUACAAAUCAUUGUGUCAAAACCUGAGAGCAAGAAAUUACAUUUUGGAUGAGCUUAAUAUUACGGCUUCGAGGGUUUGAGUUGUUAGAAGCAGCUUCAAAAUUGUGUGCAGAUGGCAAAGAAGGAACAUGAUGAGAAUUAGGUUUCCGGGAACAACUUUGAGUCGUUUCUUGCUGCUGUGGUGACUUUGGUGGACAGGACAGAUAGCUGAACAUCAUUUGACCGAUGACUUUAGAUCAUUGUGUCAAAACCAGAGGGCAAGAUAUGAAUUUUGGAUGAGUUUCCAGAUUCUGGGGAAAAUCACGUUGACAUGGAGAGUGAUCUCUCAGAACUUUCAAAUGAGAGAGUACAUGCAAGAUUGGCUGUGCACCUGUCCGACUGUCUGUGCGGCUGCUGAAAUUACUGAGUCAUCAGCUACUACCAAAUGUCGUGUGUGGCUGCAGUAACUCCAUUUGUUAAAAUCUCGUUUAUGCAUCCCGUCUACUGCUGCCUUCUUAGUAGAUGAGUUAUUUUUGAGUCUUUAUACCAGUGUAGUGGUGUUCCUCAGAUGCUGCAUGGUGCUUCUAGUAAUGCCACGACGAUAGGAUGUAAACCCUCUGUAUAUGGAGGUCACGGUCCAUGAAGAUAGGGACUUCUCAUAAAGGUUUGGUGAAUAUAUUGGUCAAUAGGCAGUCAUGAUUAUGAAAGAUGAUGAUGAUGACCUUGAAAGUGGAAAACCAAUUGCAUUUACUUCA